AAGCAACCCUUGCUGUACAGCAAUAGUUCGAUGUUCUGUUACAGUUGUGUCUUAAUAUCAAAGACCCUGGCAGCUCUGAUAGCACAGUAUUGCUCCAGUAGAAAGAAAGUUUAUUACUAAUGCAGCUUCAACAUAUUAAAUUCACUAGUAUAAAGGAGAUGGAGGAAAAGACCAACAUUUAACACUGCAUGUUAAAGUUUAGGAACUGGUUACAGUAGAUUUGAAUGCAAAAAUACUAAAUCCAUGGGGGAUUAAAGUGAGCUAGUGUAGAUGGCACAUAUGAAGUAAACCAGAUUUUAAAGUUAACACUGAAGAGUAUAUCAGUUACAUUAGAAAGUAAGCUCUGCCAUUAUCACAAAGCAUCUUAAUCGAAUCCCCUCUCCCCGGAUGAGACUAAGAGGGGUCUGGAAAGCAGGCUAAAACCCACCGUUAAUGCCAAGGCAGGAAAAAAAUCAGGGUUCAAAUUCACAGGAUGCAUUGCAACAUUAUGAAAUCCAUCUAGGCUAUCUUGCUAUAUUUAUUCAAUGUUUCACUGCCUCCCCAAUUAAUAAGACCAACUAAUGGCAGGUAUGAAAAAAAAGAGCAAUUUUUUUUUUUAGUUUAAAGGUUUAUUCAGACAAACUGGGAAGUGGUAGUUGGUAUUUAUGUAACUGUCCCCAGCAGCUAUGGUGGUCUAGCUGCAGAAGUGCUUGGGAUGCUGCUGCACAGAACAGGACAGUUGUUUAUCUUGUAUAGUCUGUCGCAGCCAGCUAAA